UGGAGAGGUGAGAGAGGAAAGAUCUGGAGACUGGCUUCUCUGUUAACAUGGGGAGAGGAAAGAUCUGGAGACUGGCUUCUCUGUUAACAUGGAGAGGUGGCGUGAAGGCAGGUGUUGAGGACUGUCUUUCUCUCUCUGCCUCAUUCUGUUGUUCUGAGUCAUGGCGUCCUCUCUGCUCAGCAGGCAGCUGGUCCUCUCCCUCCAGCAGAACCUCAGGCUCACUGCACCAGGUACACACCGCUCA
rnacentral:lncRNA from 8 species